rnacentral:rRNA from 1 species
UACGUAGGCAGCAAGCGUUGUUCGGAAUUACUGGGCGUAAAGAGUGUGUAGGCGGUGCUCUAAGUUUGGUGUGAAAUCUCCCGGCUCAACUGGGAGGGUGCGCCGAAAACUGGAAUGCUUGAACGUGGGAGAGGAAAGCGGAAUUCCUGGUGUAGCGGUGAAAUGCGUAGAUAUCAGGAGGAACACCUGCGGUGUAGACGGCUUUCUGGACCUUGUUGACGCUGAGACACGAAAGCGUGGGUAGCAAACAGG